rnacentral:lncRNA from 1 species
UUUGUUUCCCUUUCUAAAAAUCAGAAAACCUCCCCUUUUUCCCACUUUCCUUUUCGGCUAGGGUUUUUAAACCCAUCAUCGUCGACGCCUUUGCGAUGCCAUCGUGGGUGCUGGUCGAACCGGUACAACACGGGCUUUCUAGCCCUUGUAUAAAACACCUUUGAAGACCAAGCUUUCUCAGCGAAAAAAUGAGAGAAAAAGGCCCUUUCCCCUUUUUUGGAUUCGAUUUUAUCGAGGGUGAAGAAACUUCGACGACAUUAUCCCGGGGUUCAGGUAAUCUUCUUUUCUCUUUUUCUUUUUAUAUUUUUUGUUAAAAAUAGAUUUGAAAUCAGAAAAUAAGAAUACGAAAAUAAAAAAACCGAGAUUGAACCCUUUUUUUUUGCUUUUCGAUUGCCUAAUCCAGUCUGUCCCCUUACAAUAUUUGGUUUCUGGGCUUAUAUAGCCGAAAAAAAUUUGAUUUAAUAUUAUUGCUAUUGUCUAUGCUUUGCUUGUUUUCUUGCUCGUUUCUGCUCUAUUUUUUUGCCUUUUUGCUCUGUUGUCUUGUUUUGUUUCCUUUUUUGCUUUCUUUUGCAGGCGCACAAAAGGUCAAUGGGGCUGUAGAUGGUCAUUUUGGUGCAACGGGACAAGGGGAGCCGAGCCUCUAGCGUUGGACGUGCCGACGAAGCAUGUGGAAGGGGUACGGCACGAAGGCGAUUCAGAAACCCUAGGGUUUUUGAAUUGUUUUAGGCUAUUGGGCUUGUAGGAAUUGGGUUAGGGGUUUGGGUCUGCUGGGUUUUGUAAUUGGGUAAUUUAGGCCUGCUACUUAUUUGUAAUUUGGACAUUGGGCAUGUUAAUUUUUUGGGUUUUACUAUUGUUGGGUUUUUUAACGGGUAGGGCAAAUUUGGGCCCGUACACUGCAUAUUCAUGAAAUUUUGAAUUAUAUGGUGUUGAGGUGAGUUGUCAAUGGUUAUUUGAACUAAUUUUUUAUGGUUGAGAGUGAAUAUUAAAACAUGGACUAAAUUGAAUAGAAUAGAAAAUAAUAUGAUUUAAUUGCUAUAUGAUAUUUGGUAUGAAAUUGAAGCAUGCUAUACUACAUGAUUAAAUGAUGAUAAAUUGAGAAUGUUAGAAUGUGAAUUGAACAAUAUACAAUGAAUCAAAAAUUGGUUACCCUAUCAGUUGUAUAGUUGGCAUACCAUAGGGUCAGGAUAUCAAUUAAAAACUGUCGUUGCCAGGAAACUCGGAGUGGUAGAUUGUACAAAUAUGGUAUAAAAUGAUUAUGUAAUAUGUGGAAUAUAAUGUGAAAUGGUAUGAUACGUAUAAGAAAUAUGAAAAUGGAAGUUUUUGGUAUGAAAUUGCUUGUGAAUUGAGUUUAAAUUAAAUGUAUGCAUUGGUUAAACAUGUAUUAUAUUGACUUGAAUCAUCGAAAUACCACUAAACGUUUUCUCUGUUCGCAAAUAUAGUUCAUUCUCAAUAGUGCAUGUAGUAGAUCCAACAUCCAGGAAGUGAUCCCCGACUCAGCAAAGUUUGUAUAAUUCUAUUUUUUUCUAAGUCUAAGAUGGCGGCUUUUGCGAUUGCUGAAACAUAUGCAUCAUCUGCUGAAGCUGUAGCUGGAGGUCAUCGUACUUUUUGCUCUGCUCUGCUACCAUCGCUCGUGCCUCUGCCUCUCUCGCUGCAGCUGCUGCCUCCCUCUCUUCUGCCUCUGUUCUAAGUUGUUGCUAGAGUUCUUCAUAUUUUCAUUGAACCUCGGCAAUUUGCUCAACCGUGUUCGCUUGCAUCUAAGCUAUCUGGUCUCUUAACCUCUGAACUUCAGCUUGAGCUUGACUUCCGAAAGGCAUGUAUUGCUAGGAGCCGGAUCCAAAAUAUUGGGUCGGGGUAACACCAGAUCCUUGAAAUCGAACCUGACCGUACCUUUCAGGACCCAAAACUUUAGUGAUAAUUCUGUUAUCAAUGUUCUCAAGAUUAACAGAACUAUCACUCGAAGCAAUCGCUUCAUAUUUUGCCUUCUUCUCCUUUAGUUUCUCCUAAAAAAUCAAUUAAAGAGCUAGAAACGAAAUAUAUAAUAAAAAGGAAUGCAAACUAAUGAUGAAUUGAAUUAAACAAUUAUAAUUAAAGAUUAUAAAUAUUUAGAAUAAAUCAAAUAUUAUUAAGUAAAUAUACCAUAAUUUCUCCAGCUUCGGAUGUCAUAGGAGAUCCAUCUUUCUUCCUAUGCGUAAUCUCAAAAAGCUGAAGGCGUCCAACUUUUUGUCCGGAUUUGACUUCCUACAAUAUAGUAGUAAAAAUAUUAUUUAAUAAUAGAAAGUUAUUAAUAUUUGAAAGAAUUAAUAAAUUCAUAAUACCUCGGCCUCAGCUACAGAAGCAAAACUUCUCGACCUUGCCGUGUGCGUGAAUUUUUGUUUUUCCCUGCUGCUUGUUCCAACUCGCUCACGGUCCUACAUAAUAAAAUUAUUAUUACGUAUAUAGUAAACACUAUAUAUAAGAGUUUGGAAAUACGCAAUACCUCUCCUUUCUUUGAAUUCCAAAAUCUAACAGCAUCUUCUCAUUGAUACCUCAGCAUUCCCGGCGGGACAUUUCUCAAUUUUUCCUCGAGGCUUAUGUCUUUCUUAAAAUAUUGUUUCUUUAAAGUGCUUUUAUUGUCUCUCCAUCUUUUACCUAAUGCCUUCUUGAUAUAAUCAUCGGAGACUUCUAAAGCAAAUCUCUCCUAAAAAAAUAUAAGUUUAGAAUGUAAAUAUAAAUGAAACUUAAACCAAAGUAUUAUAAAUUACAUUCACAUUUUGUUACCUUAAUAUUAGCGAGAGCCUGAUUUUUGUUUCUAUCAGACAUGUGAUGCCAUGAUUCGUAGUUGAUGGGCAACAUAUUUCCAUUUCGUGCUAAAAUGCCCAAAUAGCCUGCUAAAAGUCGAGCUUCAGAUCCAACAGGCUGACCAUGAGUAUUUCUACUUACUUUAACACGCUCGACAGGAUCUAAGUCGUAUAAAUCUCUAAGCAGCGUACGUCCUCGAACAUUGCGCGUCCCACCACUUUCAGCUGAAAAAUGAUAUACUAUUAUUAUAUUAAAAUUGACAAAUAAUUCAAUAAUAAAAGUCAACACAUGUAAAAUAAACAUAACAUUACUUUGAAAUUCUUCAGGCUCAUCAAGUGUCUCCGGCACAUUCGAAGAUCCAACAACUGUCUACUAUUCACUAUUUCCUUCUUUCGAAUUUGGAGUAUUCUGGACAAUACUUAAAUCUCGUAAUCUUCUUCUACGCAUUUUUCCUGCAAUACACAUAAAAUAGUUAAAGUUUUAGUAACAAAUUACAACAAUAGUAGUACAUAUAAAAUAGUUAAAUUAUAUAACAUGAUAAAGAUUAAAAUUAUAAUAUUACAUAUAAUUAAAAAAUAGUAAAAUCUUACUACAUCAUUAUUUGUAAAUAUCUUCAUCCACAUCAUGUCGAACCCAUUGAUGUUGUGUAUUAGUACUAGGGAUGUUUUCAUCUAAGUUUUGUUCUGGAAAAGGUAAUGUUUCUGAUCUUUCGACGACGUCAUCUCUACUUCCAUUACCCAUGUCAAACAAGUCUCUAGGGGUGUUUCGGAGUACAACAUACCAACCCUCAUCAGUUGGAUCUUUCGAAUAAAAAACUUGUUUCACUUGAGAGGAAAAUACAUAUGGCUCGUCCAUCAAUUGUUGUCCAGUGUGAAUCAAGCGAGAGAAAUUCAACAUUAUAAAACCAAAUUGAUCUUCUUUAAUUCCUCGAGCAGUAUUAACAUCAGCCCAAUCACACCGAAAUAAGACAACUUUCCAUCUGCCAUAGUAAUCCAACUCAAUAAUAUCGGUAAGAAGUCCAUAAUACUCCACAUUACCCUCAACCGGAUUACUGUCCCUAGCACUAGCAUAACUUGUAAUUGAAGAAUUAACAACAACUCCACAAUUUUGAGUUCUCCUCAUUCUCUCACGAUACUUUGUAUGAAAUCUGUAUCCAUUGAUGCGGAAGGCACUAUAUCUUUUUAUUAUUCUGUUCGGACCUUGAGAAAGUCAUUUAACUUCAUCAUUGACGUCCUUUCCACUCCAAACCUAUUGAAUCGAAAGUAAAUUGAAUAAUUAACUAAAUUUCGGGAUUAUAUGUAACUUAUUAACUUUAGUUACAUACCGUUUGACUUAACCAUUCAUGAAAAGAUUCUGUGAAUAACUUAUUAAUGUCUCGAUGUUGCAAUCUUCGAGAGCGUGCACGAGAUCUCAAAAUUUGUUUGUACUCACUAUGUUAAAAACAAGUGUAAUUGGUUAGAAGAUAAACAAAUCAAAACGAUGAAUAUGUGAGGAAAUUUUAGAACUUACUUGCGUAACGGUUCAACUAAAUCGUGGUGAAAAAGUACAUAUCGAUGUGCUUGUAUCCAUCAUAUAUCAUCUAAUUCUGCAAUUUCAACUUUGCCGAUUGGUUCUCCAUAACUUUGGAAUAAAUAAGUUUCGGCCAAGUUAUGAUCAUUGAGCCCAGCAUUUCUAUUUGGUCUAUUCAAUUGUGUUUCAACAUCUUCUAAAUACCUAGAACAGAAUGUUAUGCACUCUUCUACCAAGUAGCCUUCAGCAAUUGAUCCUUCUGGAUAACGCUUAUUGCGACAAUAAGAUUUCAAUUUGCUUAGGAACCUAAACACGAUAUACAAUAUUUAUCAAAAGUUGUAACUAAAUGUAUAGACGCGAAUAAAUAAAUACUUGACAAAUAAAUUAGCACCUUUCUAUUGGAUACAUCCAUCGAUAAAAAAUCGGUCCACCAAGUAUUGCUUCGUGAGGGAGAUGGAUUACCAAGUGCACCAUAAUAGUGAAGAAGGAAGGUGGAAAGUUCUUCUCCAAAUUGCAUAAAGUCAAAGCAACUCGAUCCUGUACUUUCUUAAGUUCUUCAACAUCCAAAACUUUGCCACAAAUAGCUUUCAUUAUAUUGGAUAGUUCAAUUAUACAGGACGUCACAUUUUUUGACAUGCAGCACCGUAAAGCAACUAGGAGUAAAUCUUGCAUCAAGAUGUGGUAAUCAUGCGAUUUUAAUGAAUAUAAUCUUCGAUCUUUAAGACUCACACAUCGAGAUAUAUUUGACGCAUACGCAUCUGGGACCUUUAUAUCCUUCAACACCAUACAAAACACCUAUUUCUCUUCCUUUGACAUUGAAAAAAUAGAAGGUGACAACCGAUAUUUCCCAUUCGAAAGUACUUGAGGAUGAAGAUCACGUCGAAUUCUCAUGUCAACUAAAUCAAGUUGACUCUGAAGAUUGUCUUUUGAUUUUCCAUCGACAUUCAAAAUUGUCCCAAUUAUGUUCUCGCAGACAUUCUUCUCAAUAUGCAUGACAUCAAGAUUGUGGAGUAAAAUAUUAUGCUCCCAAUAAGGCAACUCAAAAAAAAUACUUCUUUUUUUCCACAAGUCUGCCUCAUUAGGAUCAUCCUCUUUGUCAGAUUCAUCAUCGGAUUCAUCCCUCGAUCUUCUCUUUGAUUGCGUGUUAGGUGGUUGAUUCAUCUUCCCAUAACUGAAGUUGAUAUCUUUUAACAUAAACAAGAUUUCAGAUCCAACAGUCUGCUGAGGAGCUCCUCUGUACUUUUCAGUACCGUCAACUAGAGUCCUUUGAAAUCUAAAUUUAUGAUUUCCAUCUAACCACCGACGAUGGCCCAUGUAAGAGAACUUCUUCCCAUUGUACAACCACUUCGAACACGUUUGCGCAGCACAACAAGGACAAGCAUAACGUCCUUUAGUACUCCAACCCGAUAAAUUAGCAUAAGCCAGGAAAUCAUUAAUUGUCCACAAUAAAGCUGCACGUAAAUAAAAGUUCUCUUUUCUUAAUACAUCAUAUGUCUCAACACCCGACCAUAAUUGUUUUAACUCUUCAAUAAGUGGCUGUAAAUAGAUGUCAAUAUCAUUUCUAGGACCUUUCUCUCCAGGAAUAAUCAUUGAUAAAAUAAAUGAAGAUUGCUUCAUGCAAAUCCAUGGAGGCAAAUUGUAAGGAAUAAGCACCACAGGCCAAGUAUUGUACGAAGUACUCAUGAUUUUAAAUGGAUUAAAGCCGUCAGCUGCUAGCCCAAGCCUCACAUUUCGAGGAUCGCUUGCAAAGCUUGAAAAUUUCAUGUCAAAUGAUUUCCAAGCUAAAUAAUCUACAGAAUGUCUUAACAAUCCAUCAUCAGUCCAUUGAUCAUUAUGCCACCUCAUAGAUUCGGCCGUCUUUGACGACAUGAAAAGCCUUUGAAGUCUUGGUAUUAGGGGAAAGUAUCGCAAAACCUUGACUGGCUUCUUUCUUAACUAUGCCCCACCUUCAUCCGCAUUCACAUCUUCUGUAUUCCCAUUCAUCCAACGAGACUUGCCGCAAACAUUACAACACUGUUGGUUCUUCUGAUCACCCCAGUACAACAUGCAGUCAUUUGGGCAACUAUGAAUUUUAUCGUACCCAAGGCCCAAAUCUUUUAUUAGUCUCUUCAUAUCUUGACAAGAUUGGGGGAUUUUUUCAAAAGGAAACAUCUCUCUCAGAAACUCUAGCAGCAUUGUAAAAGAAUUUCCAGUCCACCCUCCCAAACAUUUUAACUGAAAUAAACGAAUGCAGAAGGACAAUUUCGAAUAUUUUGAUCCCUCGUAAAGUUCUUCAUUCAUUUCAUUAAGUAAAUUGUAGAACUUCGCCACUUCUUCAUUUGGCUCCUCAUAAGGUGCACUUGUUCCCGUUUCGCCAAAAACAUUUCCACCAAUAUUACAAUCAUCGAAUGUAAUAAAGUCAGGUGGAAACGAUUGCUCACCAUGACUGUGCAUAUUAAAUGCAUCCCGCAACAUACCUUCCAUGUCAUCUUGUUUAACAUACUGAUGGUAAUCAGUAUCAGGAUAAGUCGGAUUAAUCGUUGAAGAAGUUCCACUAGAUGUACACUCUCCAUGGAAAAUCCAUUUUUUAUACCCCCGAAUAAAGCCAUCAACAAUUAGAUGUUCGUAGACAACUUCACGAGUAUGCCAAUUGAUGUUGCCACACUUCUUACACGGGCAAAGAAUCAUAUUCUCUUGGCUUGCAUUUUGAAAUGCAAAAUUCAGAAAAUUUUGUACUCCAUUUUGAUAGGCGUUGCUUACCCUUGACAAUUUCAUCCAACUCCUAUCCAUUUCGUAGUUCUUGAAUUCUAAAGUUGACACUAAAUUACACAGGUAAGUUGUUUAUUAUGUAAGUCUUGAUAUGAUAUAUUUUUAUGUUUUAUGUAAGUUAUGUAGAUUAUGUAAGUUAUGAAAUUUGAACUUUAAACUAUAUGCUUUUAAGGAAAUUAUUAGAUUACACUACAUGUAUUAGUUAAGUUAUGUAAGUUGUUAUGUAUGUUAUGUGAGUUAUGUAAAUUAUGUAAGUUAUGUGAGUUAUGUAAGUUGUUAUGUAAAUUAUGUAAGUUAUAUGAGUUAUGUAAGUUAUGUAAUUUAUUUAAGUAAUGAUCAAUAUUAAUACUAUUUUGAUAAAAAUUAGUUAUAACUUUUAAAGACAUUUAAAAUUAUUAAAUAUUAAAAUCAAACAUUAUUAAUAUAAAAAAAUAGUAAUUUUUUAAGAUUCAUCAUACGUGGCGUUGUUACACCUAGGGAGGAUCCAUUAUAUCUUACAGUUCAAUAUAAGGUAACCCGUCAGGUUUCCAGCCUAUAUACUUUGAAUCUUUAAAAUAUUUAAAAUAAGGUUGGAGAGAAGGUCAGCUAUUGUUUUAAUUGCUUAUAACUGCAGUUACUAUAAUAAAGUAAUAUUUUAUAGACAAAGGCUCCACAAUGAUCACCAUCAAUUAUAUAAUUAUUCAAUGCUCCGCAAAUUAUAACACAAAACAAACAACAAUAUAAAUCAUACCAAGUAUGGAGAGAGACCUACCUUAGCAGAUAUUUCCAAAUUUGUCCUCCAUAUAAAUUAAUUAGAGCUAUAAUUUCUCUUCCAAAAAAAAAAAAAAAUACCAGCUGCUAUCAUGAACAUUUAAAUACUUGUGCACAUAACGAGAUGAAUUAUUCAAUUACAUAAUUAAAACAUUACUAACUUAUACAAUGCUCAAACUUAACACAUUAUAUAAUUAUUCAAUUAUAUUACAUACACACAAUUAUAUUAAUUCAAUAUGACAAAAAAAUGUAUGUAUUUAUUUCUUUUAAACAUGUACAAUUGAAAUAAAUCAAAGUUUUAUACAUACAUAUGAACCGCAAUUUAAGUUUCAUUUAUAUAAUAACACCAAAUGAAAAUUUAUGUAUCAAAUUAUAAGUUUGAUCAAUAUUUAUGUAUAAAUUUAAUAUUUAUUCCUAUAAAUAUUAAAAUAUUCACUUAUUCAUAUAAUUAACACAUUUUCAAAAAAGAUUUUAUUGAGGUGAGCUGAAACGGGAUUAGCACAGAUCAGAAAAAAGAAGAGACCAAGAAUUUACUUAAUGAAACUUACUUUGCCAAAUUUGAUCAGCUGAGGUACAAUCUUGAGCACAGUGGACGACGGGAUAGCAAAUCCUACACCAGCUGAUGUACCUGAAAUGCAAAUAACGAAAUCAGAAUGCAUCUAAUUUACUUGGACUCAGGUGUGACAGUAUGGAUAUAUGUCUGACACAGGUAUGUUAAAUUUGUUCUAAGUUUUUCCAUAUAUUUGGACGAUCAUCAUCCCCAGAGCACUGUCUGGAUACAUGUUAAACACAAGUGCCGCACACUGGUACUUCAUGAAAAAUGAAAUGUCAGAGCAAACAUAAGAAGGCAUUACAUAGGAAGCUGUUAGCUAUCAUAACUAUUAUUAUUCUUUGGCCAAGGAAACAUCUAACUCUGAAAUAUCUUCUCAUCAAUAUAGAAAAAUCUUUUGUUUAAGAUUACGGUAAAAAGAGUAAAAUAACCUGUCUGUGUGAAUAUAGCCGUAUUAAUUCUAAUCAGAUUCCCUUUCGAAUCUAACAGAGUACCUCCACUACAACAAAGAAAGAAAGCCAAGAAGUAGCAGCAAUAAAAAACUUGUUCAGAGACAUUAACUUUAAAGUUUCGAGACAGAUACAGAAGAUUAGACAAAUCAUUUGGAGAACCUGUUUCCCGGAUUGAUGGCUGCAUCUGUUUCAAUUCCACCCCCGAUCAAAAAAUUGAAACAUGAACAUAGUUAAAAUACAUACAAUUCAAACCUCAAAUAUGAGCUAAAAAGAAAAAGCAUACAAGUCCAACAUAAUCAGAUGUCAUUGUUGAAAUUAUCAAACCAAAAAGCAAGGAAAUGUAGGAACCACACAAAAGAAUAGCUAAUUUGGGAAUACAGAGCUUACAACAUAUUAAGAAAAUUUUGCAACCAAAAUGUAAUAUUAGCCAGACAUGAUACAUUUCAUAAACAUAAUUUUCGAAGUCCACAAAUCCUAAUUAUCCAUACAAUCAACAUGACCUCCAAGCAUCACUGUUUAUUUGAUUUUCGUUCAGAUGCAAGUAGAUAAACUUACUGCUAGCAGUUAUAAAACUGAGAUGAACACUAAUAUUUUAGUUACAUAGUUCAGAACCCUAAAUCACAUUUCAAAAUUUCAAAAACCCAAAUAGCCCCAAAACCCCGAAAAGAGAAAGAAGCACAACAAUCUAAGAUUACCAAUGUCAGCAUGCUAAAGUCUUGGGUUCAAAAGAACAAGUAAAUGAGAGUACCUUGAUUUGAUGGACUCGCCAAAAGUAGCCUUCAAUCAGGUUUGAUUUCAAAAUGAAAUCCCUUAAUCUUUCUGCUUGCUGCAAAAAUAAAACAGAAGUGAAAUCGAAAUGGAAAUGAAAUCGAAAAUAAAAUGUUUGCUUGCUGUAAUGAAAUCGAAAUUAUAAUAACCAUAUUUAACCCAGUGACAACAGAUUGAAACAAACAUGAAAUUAUAAUAACCUGUCGAUCGAAAAGAGAGAGGGAGACGGCAAAUGGGUUUGAUUUGGGGAAAUUUUAGGGUUUAGGGGAAACUUUGAUUUGGGGGAAAAUAAGGGUUUCAGGUUUGCAAUGGGGUGAAAUGGCUGAAACAAAAACGACGACGUUUUGUUAAAUGUAAUGACGCCAGUAAAUUGCAAAGGAAACGACGUAGUUUUAAUUAAACUUUUAGUAGCGUUUUUAAAAAAAGCAACGCUAAAAAUAGAGAAUUAGCGGCGCUUUUUUUAAAAAUGCCGCUAAUUCCCUUGGAGACAUUGAAUGACGUCGUUUAUGCUAAAGUGAAUUUUUUUGUGGCAUUUUUGUCAAAAACGCCACUAAUGCAUUAGAUAGUAAUAAAUUUUAAUAAUUAAUUAAUUAUUAUUUAAUUAUUUUAAUAUUUAAAUUUAAGGUAAAAUCAAUUUAAAAUAAUUUCUAAUAAUUAUUUAAAACAUGAAAUGAAUUGAGAUAAAAAAAUUAUAUUUUCAAAAUCAUUUUUGAUAAAAAUGAACAACAAUGAAAAAAAAUGCAAAUUUUUAAAACAUUAGGUUUUUAUAAAAAAAAAAAAGUUGUCAUUGAUAUUUUUAACUAGGUGUGAGCAAUACUUAUUAAAAUUUUCUUUUAAGAGAUUAUUAUUAUUAUUUGCAUCUUAAAAUUAAAGUAAGCCAAGUUUAAUUUCGAGAGUCGAUUGCAUGCAAAGAAAGUUAUUAAACACAUAUUAUUUUUUAGAUUUUGAAAUUAUAAUAAAUUCAAAUUCAAUAUUUAAUCAUGAUGCAUUAAAUUUGAGAAUUUCAUUAACAUUUCGUAUUCAAUAAUUUUAAGAACCACCUCAUCAAAUUUCGUAAAUACUAAACCUUGUGUAAUUAUAUGGGAAUAUAAACAUAUAUACAUCAUAAAUAUAUGUAUAAACAUGAGAUCAGGUAGUUAAUUAAACCGCACUCCGAGCACUCCAAGUUAAAACCUAGAUUCAACCAGAACAUCAUUUAAUCAACUAAUAAACCUUAAACCCUAAUAACCUUAGCUAAGCCUUAAAACCUUAAACACUGUAAUAUAUACCGGCCUAAGCCCUAUGUACACUUUAAUACACCAAACCCCAAAUAACAAACUAAUUUAAAACACUAUACCCCAAACCCAAAAUAACAAACCCCAAACCAUGCAUAAGCUUACUGCCAUUGAACCCUAAACCAUAAACUUAAUAUAUAUAUAUACUACGUACCAUUUCAACCCUAAACCAUAGGCCUCAAACUUAAAUAUUAAACACUAAACCCCAAAAUAAAUUUAAUCAACUACUUCUACAAUUUAUUAAUAUAAACAUAAGCUUUUACAUUAUCUAUGUAUAUACACACAUAAACAUCCAUAUGAAUUUUUUUAGGGGUUUAGAGUUUUAGAAUUUAUGGUUUUACAGUUUAGUUAUCAAUUUGUAACUUUUAAUAAUUAAGUAAUUAAAAUAAAACUUUCUCAUAGCUAAGUGAAUUAGUUUAUAUUAAAUCGAAUUAAAAAAAAAGAAAAUAAUAUGAAAAUUAAAUAAGAUCAAAUCGAAACAACUAUCGACGGUUGUCAUAGAUAAAUUUUUUUGCGGCAUUUGGUCCUAAAAACGCCGCUAUUGAUUAGUUUUAGUGGAGUUUUAACAAAAACGCCGCUAUUUCUCUAUUUUUAGUGGCGUUUUACAUAAAAACGCCGCUAUUUUCCCAGUUUUUACUGGCGUUUGGACAAAAACGCCACUAUUUCUCUGCUUUUUAGUGGCGUUUUGGAUGAAAACGCCGCUAUUGAUAACUUUUAGGGGCAUUUGGGACAAAAAUGCAGCUAUUUCCCCAGUUUUUAGUGGCGUUUACGUGAAAACGACGCUAUUGAUCCGUUUUUAGUGGCGUUUUAGAUAAAACCACCGCUAUUGAUAUGUUUUUAGUGGCAUUUUAGACAAAAACGCUGCUAUUUCUCAUUUUCUUGUGGCGUUUGUGAGUAAACGCCGCAAAUGUAUAAUAUUUGCGGCGUUUUUUGUUCAAACGCCAGUAAAAAUGCCGCUAAAAGUCCAUUUUCUUGUAGUGUAUGUUAUGUCACGAUGUCGAGCAUUAGUCAUUAUGAUGAGGCCAAGUCAGUAUGUUGCAUUAUGACUAGGAACCCCUGUAGUCACGAUGUCAUCUUGAAAUAUUGAAAACAUUACAAAUUGGUCAUAAUUCAACCUUGGGUUAGAAAUAGAGUUUUCUAAGCUCGUAUAAGACCUGAAAAUGUGUGUUUAUUGUAUUAUGUAUUUCUAUUACUCGUAAAUAAUUAUUUAAUGGUAUAAAUUAAAUGUAAUUGAUCGUAAUUUUUCUGACAAUGAAUGUGACAUCCUGUAGCCUGGACUCAAUGAUUGAGUUGGGUAAGAGGUGUUACAAAAUGAGUCCAUUUAUGUUAAAACAAAGUUUUAAAUUUUAUAAUCAAGUUGAGUAGCUUAGUGUAUUAAUAUGACAUCCCUUGCACGUGAGGAAUCAAUGCACUUCGAGUAAAGGGUGUUACACUAUAUGUUGCCUUUGGGCUAUGAAGACAUCCAUAUUCUGAUGCUUUCGAGCUUAGCACCUUGGUGUGUUUGGUGGCUCAGAACUAUGUGCCUUUUGGUGUGUCAAGAGGGAUGUGAUAUUAUUACGGGGGUAGAACUUUAAUCUUGCAGUUCAUGUGGCCUUAGGCAAUUUAUUCUCUUUAAAUAUGCCUAAGUCAGUCUAGUUCUCAAAAAGUGAGAAUUCACAAUAGAUAUUCUCCAAGGCACCGAAAAAUAAAGCAGAAGCAACUGAAAUGUAAUAGCCUAUUUUUGGGUCAAAUCAGAACAGUGGUUUCGAGACCACAAAUAUGAAGUAGAAAUAUUUAUUUUAUUAUUCCUUUAAGGUCUACAGCAUGAUAGAAUAAUUGUGUGAAAAUUUCGUUAAGAAAUUUUAUCGAUUGAGUACUUAAUUUAACUAGAAGGACUAGAUUGCAAUAGGUGCAAAACUUGAAUUCUAUAAUUUAAAGGUGUCUAAUUGUUAUUAAAUUUUAAUUAGAGGUCCUUAAAUGGAAAUUAAAUCAUUAUACCUUAGGAUGGACAAAAAUGGACAUGGUUAGGUGAAAUUUCAAAGUUAUGCAUUAAGGGUAUUUUAGUAAUUUGGCUAAUAGGGACAAAAUUAACUAAAUAAAAGAUGUCCAUCUUCUGAAUUUCAUUCCCCCGUAGCUGAAAUUCACAAGGAGUCCAUAGCUAGCAUUUUGGCCACUUUCAAGCUCGAUUGUAAGUCCGUUCUUGUCCUGUUUUUAACGAUUUUUAUAUUUUUGAGAUCGUUGUAACUUGAUUUAGCUAUUUCAAGGACUAAUUUGAAAUAAAUUUAAAGUAUAAAAUUUUACCCAUGUUGAAUGUGCUUGUAUUUUGAUGUUUUAUGAUAGAAAAUGCAUGUUUGUUGUCUGUUAAAUGACUUUUAUAAAGUGAUUUUUGGUAAAAACGUUAAAUAGGGACUUAUUUGUAAAAGUCUAUAAAAUAUGUAGAAAAGUUUGAAUAAAUGGAAAAUGUGGGCUAUCAUGAGCAUGAAAAAGGUUUGGCUAGGCUUGAGUUGUGAAGAAAUUGAAUGAAAUUCAUUUUACGAGCCUAAAAUGUUGAAAAGUUAGGGGCAAAAAUGUAAAAUUUGCCAUAAUGUGUUUUUGUGCUGAAUUGAAUAAUGUGAUGAUUAAAUAAGUUAAAUGUGGUAUUAUAUAUCAAGAAAAACGAAUUUCGGGUCUAGAUCGAGGGAAAACCAAAGUAAUUGACGAAUAGAUCUCUAUGGUCAUUUUUGUAACCGAGGUAAGUUUGUAUGUAAAAUAAACUUUAUUAUAAUUGUAGUUUUAAUGCUUUAAUAUUGUAUGAAUUGUAUAAAAAACUCUAUGGUCCCGUCUAACGAUGUUUUGACAAGCGAUAAGUCCCAAUCGAACCUUAGGAAUAGAUUAGGAUACAGGGGACAUGUCAUUAGGGUUUUAUGUUAUGUGAUCCGAGUGCUGGUCCUGUACGUCCUACCGGUGGCUGAGUAUACCGACAUAUGUUGUGAUUACUUGACAGCUUGUGUGAGCAGCACCAAGUAGCUAUGUCUUGACUGGCAGCUUGUGUGAGCAGGUCUGUUAAUGGCUUAAGAGCGAGCAUAUAUGUGUUAUGAGAUAUAGGUAGCAAUGGCUACAUAUGUGGCACCUUGUGUGCAAGAUUUCCCAAGUAUCUGACAUUAUUAUUCCUAGUGGUUCAUUGGGUAUAACAACAAUGAGACUAUGUAUGAAAUUAUUAGAGAUGGUACAGGUACGUAUUAAAAGCUUAUGAUUAUUAAUUCAUGAAAUGACGAUUUUAAGGUAAGUUGUGAUGAAAGUGAAAUAUGAUAAUGAGAUUUUGGUAAAUUACAUAUCUUAUGUUAAAUUACUUGCAUGUUAAUGUUUGGUAAGGUUUGCUUAUUUCUUUCAUAAGAGCUUACUAAGAUAUAUAACUUACUCCGUUUUAUUUCCAUGUUUUAUAGUGUCACCAAGCUAGCUCGAAUUGGAGAUUCGUUAGAGAUUGCCUCACACUAUCAUCUGUCAUUUUAGGUAUCAAUGAUUUUAAACAUUUUGAGAAUAUGGCAUGUAUAGGGACAUGGUCAUUUUGUUAUAUGUGUCAUCAUGAUUUUUGUAACACUCCUCACCCAUAUUCAACGUCAGAAUAGGGUUACGGAGCAUUACCGGACUUAUAACACAUAUAACUGUUUUCUUAUACUUUAAAUCAAUUCAUACAAUCAUCAUUCAUCUCAAUCAAUUUGUCUCUUAUAAUAGCCUACAAGGCCCUAAACAUGCUUUAGGAAUGGUUUGGGACUAAACCGAUGGCUUACAAAACUUUUACGAAACUUUGAAUUUUUUUCUCAAAACAGAGGACACACACUCGUGUGGGCAGACCGUGUGUCUCACACUAGAUAGGCCCGUGUCACUGGCCGUGUGAAAACAGGGGGUACAUUCUAACUUGGGUCACAUGGCCAACCACACACCCGUGUGUCUAGCCUGUGUGCCUUCGAAGUGGCCACGCAUGCCCGUGUCCCAGGCCGUGUGCUCGGUCGUGCCAAACCUAUAGGGUAUACUGACUUCUGCAACACAGCAAAGUCAUAUGCCCGUGUGAUAGGCUGUGUGCCAAUUAGGGGGUAUACUGACUUGUACCACAUGGCCAGUCCACGACCGUGUGUGAGACCGUGUGGAGCAUAGUGACUUCACUUUAAUUUCAAUACCAAGGGACACACGGCCUUGUAACAUGACCGUGUGUCACGCACGGCUGAGACACACGCUCGUGUCUCUGCCCGCGUGGACAAAAAUAACUUAUUUGCAAAGCCAUUUUGCCACCCUAUUUUUACAUAAUAAUUUGCAACAUUUAUAACUCAAUAGGUAGCCAAACCACAACAUUUCAUAUAUAAUUUAAACCAAUUCUACUACAAUCAUUUUCCCUUCAUAUGCCUAUCACAUAUUAGGACAACAUUGCAUAUUUCCAUUUCAUCUACUACAUGCCAAAACAUACCAUAUUUGAAAACUUAUACACAACCAAAACAUUAUACCAAGUUAAGCCAAAUCACAUAGCUUUAUCAUAUACCACAACAUGUACCAAAAUCACCAUAUUAAAUAACUAUACGUAUCAUAUUUAUAACUAGCCUAUACAUGCCAUAUUUACAUAUAUCCAUAAGUUCAAAGGUACCAAUCGACAACUAGAUAGUGUGAUGUGUAACUCCGACCCGAGCGAGCUAUCGAACCUCUAUAAAACAUGGAAAAGAAAUAAAGUAAGCUUUAUAGCUUAGUAAGCCCAUAUAAUUCAGAAUUUAACUUUCCAUUUAAACAUAAUCAAACAAUUAAUCAAAGUAUAUCAAAUUCAAUUGCCAAAUGCCUAUACACAAGCAUUCAUCAAAAUGUUAGUCUCAUAAGUACAUAUAAUCAACCUUUGUCUCAAUUUCAUACAUCAAUUUCAUGUAACCUGUAUGACAUAUGAAACAAUUCAUUCUCAUUCAUAUAAUCGACAAAUCAUUUAUAUAACCAGGAAUUCAUCCGUAUAAUCGUUAACAGAAUUACUCGUUGAACCUAUUAGAAUAUCGAUAGAUACACGGGUGAUACGCACUAAGUGUAUUAAUUGGUAAUUCGUCAAUUCAUCAUCGUAUUCGCUCUUUCAAGCUAUGAUCGGUAAGCUCCUUCUGAGCUGAUGAAUAGUAAGCUUUAUCGAGCUGGAAACAGUAAGCUCUGAUGAGCUGAGAAUAGUAAGCUCUUAUGAGUUGAUAUAUCAAUAAGCUCAUAUGAGCUGUGGUGAGUCUGCAACACAUGCAGGAUCUCGACCAAAAUGGUAACCUUAAUGACAUGUCACUCGUAUCCUACGAAUUCCUACGGUUCAAACGGGCUCGGUAACCAUCAAACAAUAAGGCAUUCAAAAUUUGAAUAUAUCAUUUACUCAAUUACAUACAUUCAUUUCAAAUAAUUACAAGUAUUUAAAUGCUUGAUUCUAAUUAUACGAACUUACCUCGAAAUGCUCGGAUAGAAAUUAUCAACUAUUCGUCCACUUUCCCUUUUCCCCAAUCUAAUCCUGAUCUCAGCUUAUCUUGAUCUAUAUAUUAUCAAAUUUAGCACAUUCAAUAUUCAGUCUAUUCAAUUUAGCCUAUAAUUCUUAUUUUGGAAAAUUUACACAUUUUCCCCUAAUGUUUCACACUUUUACAAUUUAGUCCCUAUCACAUAAAAUUGCAAAUUCAUGCAAUUAAUCAUAAACCCAAGCUUAGCCAAAUUUUAAUGAAGUCCCUAGCAGCCCAUAUCUGUAACGCCCCCACGCCCGAGACCAUCACUGGAGUCGAGCUUGAGGGGUUACCGAACAUAAUUUAUCAAUUUAAGAACUUCAAAUCAUUUGUUUCUACAUCCACAGCUUUCUAGCUACUCGCGUCACAGUUACAAGAAAAAUCAUAUCUCGAGUUACAAAACUUGAAAUCAAGAUCCGUAAAUUUUCCCUGAAUCUAGAUUCAUAUAUCUAUAUACUAAUUUUAGUCUAGAAUUUUUUAUUGGGAAAAUUAGUACAGUUUAUUAAUUAAAGUAUCCCCUGUUUCAGGGUUCGACUGCUCUGACCUCUAUGUAUUACGAAUCAGAUAUAUCUCUAUAAAAAAUUUCAAUGACUAUGAGGUUUGUUUAUAUUAAAACUAGACUCAAUAAGGAAUCUGUACAUAUAAAUAAAAACUUAUAAUUAUUUUAGUAAAAUUUAUUAUGAAUUUUUAAAGUCAGAACAGGGGAUCCAGAAAUCACUCUGGCCUUGUUUCACAAAAGUUUAAAUAUCUCAUAAAAUAUAAUUUAUAUUCUUGUUUUGUUCAAUCCAUAUGAAAAUAGACUCAUUAAUCUUCAAUUUCAUAACUUACUCAUCAUUUAGUUAUAUUUAUACUAUUUUUAGUGAUUUUUCAAAUUCAUGUCAUUGCUGCAGCAAUAUUCUGUUUUAAGGCAAGUUUCAUCUUUCCAUGAAUUUUUAUGAACUAGAUAACCUGUUAAACUUCCAUGAUAUCAAACAUGAUCUAAAUUAGCCAUCACCAUGACUUAUCAAUAUCAAACAUUUUCUCAACCAAACAUGGCCAUAUCAUAAAAUUAUUUACACAAAAUAGGUAUAUUGCUAUACAUGCCAUACUUAAGUAGUUGUACAAGCCAUUUACCAAGAUAAAAGUCCUUUGGAUAGUGUGAUCGAACUUUCGACCUGUCCCGAUUCCUGAGCCAGCUUGUUCAAAACUACAGUGAAUAAAAAGGAAGGAGUAAGCAUAAAUGCUUAGUAAGUUCAUAUGUAAAUAACAAGUAACAUAACAAUACAAAUAUACCAAACAACUUUAGCAUGGUACCACCAAAACAUAUAUCACAUCUUUAAACAUCAUUCAUCAUCUUACCACCUUAUCGUUGUUGUAUCUAUUUUCAACCCGAGGGUUAAGAACAUACCAGUCCAAAGUGUCCAUUUCACAACACUUACCCAAAACGUCACUUAUAUCUUAAGUGCUUUUCCAUUAAACUAGAAAUUUCACCCGUUGAACACAUCAGAAUAUAACUCGGAUACAUGGAUAAUUUACACAUAAGUGCCACAUAUGUAAUCAAGAAAUCAUGUAACCCGCCCUUAAGUGAACUCGGACUCAACUCAACGAGCUCGAGCGUUCGCAUCCAUAAAUGAACUCGGACUCAACUCAACGAGUUCGGAUGCCUAGUUACAUCUCACGAACUCGGACUCAACUCAACGAGUUCGGACAUUUGCAUCCAUAAGUGAACUCGGACUCAACUCAACGAGUUCGGAUUCUCAACCAUCCUAGUGACAUGUCACUUGUAUCCUAAUCUAUUCCUAAGGUUCAAACGGGCUUUUUCCCUCGAUCUCACAUUUGUCGUCUUCCAUGGAAUAUCGGAACCGAUACUCGGUAGCAAUUCAUAUUUAUCAAGUAGUAAACAUAAUUUGCAUAUUACUCAACAUUAACCACAAAGCAUAAUAUUUCACGAUUAAAAAUUAGCAUAUCAUAUAAUUAACAUUAAUAACUUAAAAAUAACAUUUAUGCUACAUUAUUUACACAUGAACUUACCUUGGUACCAAAAUAUAAAGAUUUUGCAAUUUAGUCCACAAUCUUUUCUUUUCCUCGAUCACAACUUGAAUCUCAUUUUUGUUGAUCUAUAAUACCAAAUUAAUCUUAUUUAAUACAUACAUUUAUCAAAACAGCAUUUAAUAUGAACUUUAAAAAAAUUACACUUUUGCCCCUAAACUUUUGCAUAAUUACACUUUUACCCUUAGGCUCGGGAAUUAAAAUUUUUCCUUAUUCUUAUGUUUUAUAACAUGCUAAUCACUUUUCCCUUCUAUGGCAACAUCAAAUUCUCUCUCUAACAUAUACUUGUGACUAUUAGGUAUUUUUGCCGAUUAAGCCCUUUACUCGUUUUCACUAAAAACCGAGUAGCACAAGUUGUCUAACAUAAUUUAAAACCCCAUAUUCUAUCAUAAAACAUCAAAAUACACAAAUUUCACCUAUGGGUAUUUUUCCAAAUAUAAAACCUAGGUUGAAUUAUUGCUAGCAUAAGCUUAAUCGAGCUUCCGGGAUUCCAAAAACGUAAAGAACAUUAAAAACGGGGCUUGGAAUCACUUACUAUGGAGCUUGGAAGCUUGAAACAAACCCUAGCUAUGGAGAACCCUUGAAAUUUCGGCCUAAUGAAGAAGAUGGACAAAAAUUGGCUUUUAAUUUUGUUUUUAAUUCAUUUUAAUAACUAAAUGACCAAAAUACCCUUUACUACUAAACUUUCCAAAAAUUCCUUCCAUGUCCUAAUUUUGUCCAUGAACUUAAAAUUGGUCAAAUUGCUAUUUAAGACCUCCUCAUUAAUAUUCCAAAACAAUUUCAUACUAAAAACUUCUAGAAUGCAAGUUUUGCAACUUAUUCGAUUUAGUCCCUACUUUCAAUUUAAGCACUUUAGGCAUAGAAUUUCAUCACGAAAUUUUCACACAAUCAUGCAAUCAUGUCAUAAACAUCAAAAUCAUUGUAAAAUAAUUAUUUCUAUCUCGGAUUUGUGGUCACGAAACCACUAUUUCGAUUAAUCCCUAAUUCAGGAUAUUACAAUAUCUUUUAUUUAUUCACACUUUUACCCACAUAGUUUUACAUUUUUACAAAUUAAUCCAUUUUUGACAUUUUUGUCAAAAAUCACUUUACAAAACUAGUAAAUCUAUCAACAAACUUUCAUAAUCUAUCAUAAAAAUCAAAUUGCUCAAGCAUUCAACAAUGGAAACAUGAUAAAUCUUUAACAUUUCUGAAAAUUAAGUAUGGGCUAGCUAGAAUACGAAGCAACGAUCUCAAAAACAUAAAAAUCAUUAAAAAUGGAACAAAAAUCAUACCUAAUUGAGCUUAUAAAUCAAUGGCUGAAUGAAACCUAAUUCUUUGGCUUUCUUCUUGCGAAAUUCGGCUAAAAGAGAGAAAGAUGGACACAAAAUUCAUUUUGUUUUUAUUUAAUUAACCUAUAUUAUCCAAAUUACUAAAUUAACCUUUAAAAAUAUUAUAAAUUACACCAAUUUCCAUGCUAUCAUCAUCCACUAGCCUAUAAAUGGCCUAUUUACCACUUAAGGACCUUUACUUUAAUGUUCUAUAGCUAUUUGACACUUUUAGCUAAUAGAACACAAGUUUUACGCUUUACGCGAUUUAGUCCUUUUUUUACAGAAUUAUGCAUUCAAACAGUAAAAUUUCUUUACAAAACUUUCACACAGUAAUUAUAUCAUGUUGUAAACUUUAAUAAAAUAAUAAAAUAAAUAUUUUAACCUCGAAUUUAUGGUUCUGAAACCACUAUUCCAAUUUGACUAAAAAUGGGCUGUUACAAUUUUAGCCAAAUGCAUAGGCUUGUAAUUAUCAAAUGCUUGGUUUGGUAUUUGGCCAUGUAAAUUGGCUCAUUUUAAUUAAAUUGGAUGUAAGCUUAAGUAUAUUCAAACAUGUGCAAAUAUCUCAUUUAUGAUGUGGUGUAUAAAUGAUUGGUGAAUGGUUGAAUGUGACCUAAUGGUUGUGUUGUUGAAUGGUUAAGAGUGGCUCAUUGGUAUACUAGGAAAUCUAAAAAUAAUUAUGCAUGAAAAAGGUAUGUGUGUUGAUACUUGUGGAUGCGAAUUUGGUAUGAUUUGGCUUGGUAGAAUAUGAUGUUGUAAGUAUGUUAUACGUGAUAAUGAAAUGAUAUGUUUUAACCUUGAUUUUCAAUGUUUGGUUGCCUAAGUAUAUCAUGAUUUAUGCAAUUGAACUUGUGUGUGUGUGUAGGUGGAAAUGAGGGUGACAAAUGGAUUGGUAAAUAACCUUUAUUUUGUCCACACGGAUAGACACAUGGGCGUGUGUCUAAGCCGUGUGUGACACGCGGCUUGCCUCACUGGCAUGUGUUUGGGCUGUGUGUCCACUACACCUUAAUUUUGAGAAACAAAAUGAUCAGAAUUGAGCACAUGGGUAGAGACACGGCCAUGUGUCUCAGCCGUGUGAGGUACACGGCCUCAAGCACGGGCAUGUGUCCCGACCAUGUGAAAUCUUGAUCGCUUUAUUUCGUGAUAGGUUUUAAAUAUUUAUAAUUACUCGUGCUUGAACUAACUAUUAUCGCGAUGUAGGCAAGUGUACCUAUCGAACAGUAGUAUAGUUUUAGCAAGACCAGAUUGUCGAACCCAAAGGAACUAAAAGUACUAGUAAUGACUGUCUUUUUAUUAUCUAGCCUAAGAAUAAAGAGGUUUUAUUUUAAUUAACUAAUUAUCUAAACUAAGAACGCACAGAGAAAAGAAUUGGGGAAUUCAUUUUGGGAAAAAUCGAUUGACUUAAGACAAUACCUAAGGAAAAAUCCACCUAGACUUUACUUGUUAUUCUGGCUCCGAAUCGGACGAUUUAUACAUUCAACUUGUUCCGUAGAGAUCCCUAAGUUAUGUUAUUAUCCCUAUUCAAGACUAAUAAUAUCUAAUCCCUAGAUUGAAUAACCGAGACUUUUCCCUAAUUUACACUCUAGGGUUGCAUUAACUCGAUCUAUGAAUCCCUUUAUUAGGUUUCACCCUAAUCCGACAAAAUCUUGUCACCCUAUGUCUAGGCGCGCAAUCAACCGCUUAAUUAUGACAAAUGUACUCUUAGACAGGGUCUAUUCCUCCUCUAAAUAAGAGCAUGUCUUGAAUCAGUAUCCUGGGAUAUCAAAACAAGAAUUAAGAACACAUAAUUAAGAACAAGUUAAAUAUUUAUCAUACGAUUCAGAAAAUAAUAACAAGAUUCGUCUUAGGUUUCAUUCCCCUUAGGUAUUUAGGGGUUUUAGUUCAUAACUAAAUAAGAACACAUCUUAGAAUAAUAAAUAAUACAAAAUAUAGAGAAAACCCAAAACUCCUGAAGGGAACUUGAGGAGAGAUCUUCAGUCUUGAUGAUGAAUCCGGCUUCUGAGAUGGAUCAAUCGGCUUCCUUGGAGUAAUUCCUUACUCCUCCUUCUCCGUCUCCUUUUUCUUCCUCCUCUAGGGUGUAUUUAUAGGCUUUGGAAUGCCUAAAAGCCCUCAAAAUUAGCCUUUUUCGAAUUGGAGUCAACUUGGGCUCGGUAGGGGUAUGCCCGUGGCACACGCCCGUGUUCGAUUACUUCAGGCCGUGUUCGAGCCUGCCAAAUUGACACGGCCGUGUGGUCUGCCCGUGUGAGGAGGUUCAGGCCGUGUUGAUUUCGUACUUUGGCCCAUUUUUUCUAUUUUUGGCCUGUUUCUCGUUCCUUUCGCUCUCCUAUACUCUCCUAAGUAUAAAACAUGAAAUUAAAGCAUUAGGAGCAUCGAAUUCACCAAUUCUAAUGAAAAAUCAUCCAUAAAAUGCAUUAAACAUGGGGUAAAAAUAUGUAUAAUUUACGGUUUAUCAAAUACCCCCACACUUAAGCAUUUGCUAGUCCUCAAGCAAAAUUCUCAACUUAUAAUUUCUAUCGAUAAUAUCUCAAAAUAAUCCAUAGGUAAUCAUACAUUGAGAAUUCAACUAAGAGAAUAUAAAAGUUUCAAACAUUCGAAGUUGAGCAUUUUAAUCAUGCAAACAUAGGUGUCUCCCAUCAUUUAAGUAAUUACCUUUGAUUCAGAAUAUCACAGAGUUUCACAUCCUCAUUAAAGAUUCACUCAAAUCACUCGAGGUGUUUAAGGACAAUAAAUGAAGCACUCAAUAGUCAAUAAUGAAAAGUCAUUACCAUAGGCUUGCAUGAAAAUCAAAUCUCCACCACUAUAAUUUAAGAUGAUACAUCAAUCAAAAGGUCUUUAGAGGGUUGUAAUGAGGCUUGGUUAGGGGGUGCGGUCAUAAGCUAAAAGAAAGGGUUAGAAUUGAGAUUGAAUUGAAAAAUUGCCUAACUAGAAAAAGAGUUAAUCUUCACUUGCGUACAACAGAGCUUUUUCUUAGACUAUGAAAUUACAGAUAUGUAUACAAAUUUUUUUUAAAGAAAAAGUUAAAUAAUAUAGAUUAACUAUUAGGAAAAAAACAUAGCUAAGCAAUCCAUUCAACUCAAAUCUCGACAAAAAUAGGGAUUAAUUUAGGGGAUUUCAACAAUAAUGGGCUAAAGGUUAAUAUUGAGGUUAAUACAAGGAAUGGUUUGUUAGGCUCAAAUGGGUGCUGAAUCGCAAGGGCGAUGAAAUAGGCAAGGUCGAUGAUGUGCCCUUGCAACAUGCACCAUAAGAAGUAGACGUUGUGGGUGUUGAUGUCGCCAGUGCUCUCUCGCCUCCCUGUAAUCGUGUGAGCUAAAAUAGCGUGUAAGUACCUUAGGGAUGGUGGGAAAACUGAUGCCUUAGAGCGGCUAGGAUUGUAGGAGGCCGUGCUAAGGGCCAAAGUGUGCCAGCACUUCGAGGGAGAGAAAUGUAUGUGGUGAUUGAGAGCAUGUAGUUCAUUCUCCUCCUUGAAGUCCUCCGUAUAUAAACCUAGUGCAGCACCAAAAUCUAGGAUGCUUAACUGGCAGAUUAAUCCGCCUAGGCGAAAUUGGACCGUGCUAGGAUCAUCGUAUCUUGUCAUUACAGUGUGAAGAUGGAAUGUUGAGCAUAGUUCAAUCGUGAGCUCGAGGUAUGUCGGCUCGAUAAUCCCGAAGAACAGUUCCCAGGGGUCGAUGGUUAAAAGGGCCCAAAUCGCAUCAGCCAUCUGAACUUGUUCUACGGCUGCCCAGUUGAUGCAGCGGCCCGCAAUUAAAGGUCGGGCCCGAAGUAUCUAAAAAAGUUCUUCCUAGGGCCCUCGGGGGAACUGUAGAAAAGGGUGACGAAUUUUCGCGGUCGGACCUGCGGAAGAGGACGCUCAUUUCCUCUUUUUUAAAGCAGGUACGACGGUUUUCUUUCCUCUUGAAGACGACAUUGUGUACCUAUAAGUGGAAACAUCAAUUCGUCUUUUGAUGAGUGGACAAUUUAUAAUAUAUAAAAGGAAUGUGACUAAAUUCGAAAAGGAAAAUGCAUAGCUAUAUUCAGCCACAAUUAUUAAAUUCGAUUAAAACAACUAGUUCAAUGACCCAUUUUUUUGUGGCAUGAGCAUGGUAAUAUAAGUAAAAAUGGCAAGGAAUGGAAUGCAAAAUACUACAUGAAUGAAACGAGAUGUCAACAAAAUAUGCAUGAUUAUUUCAACUAUCCUAGCCAUGAAUAUUCACUUCUAACUAAUUGAAUGAAGUGUAGGAAUCAUGUAAUGAGUAAGAUUUUAAACAUGAGAAAGAUGAUAACUUGUUUGAUAAAUGAAAUUUAUGUGAUUAUCAAUAUGGAAAUAACAUGAAAAAUAUAGAUUAAUAUGAUAAAAAGCAUUAUAAAUCAAUGAAAUAAAAGAAAAAGGAGUUAACAAAUGCUAAGGGGAGAGGUUUGGGCAUAUAGAAUGGAGUUGUAGGUGGCGCACGGGCGUGGCAGGGAGGCCGUGUGGAGUUGCAGUAGUUAGGGUUAGGGUUUUUGAAUGGGGAAGAAAGUGAAUAGUGCAGGGUAUUUAUAGAUUUUGGGCCACACGGCCAGGACACAUGCCCGUGUCCCCCAAUUCACGAAUUUCAAAUUUGGGCACGACUGUCAUUUAGUACACGCUCGUGUUCCUCGGGCGUGUGGGUUCACACGGCCGUGUUGCACAGCCGUGUCUAGCUUCGUUCACUUCUCCCACGCUAGUGUGUGCAAGGCCCACGCCCGUGUUAAUUUAACAGGUUUGACCACGGGUGUUCCACACGGGCGUGUCGCAUGCCCGUGUUGUUUUGGCAGGCUCGUCCACGGUUCUUCUACACGGGCAUGUCUCACGCCUGUGUUGUUUUGGCAAGCUCGACCACGACCAUAUCGCACGGCCAUGAUGUUUUAUAGUAGUCUGUGUUGGGGAAAUCCUUGCCCUGUUUUCACACGGCCUUAAGCACGCCCGUGUGCUUGACCGUGUCUUUGUGAAAACACCUGUAUUCAAGAUUUCUAUUAGUAAGUUAGGAGUUAAAUACCAAAAUUUAAAGAAAUUAAUAUUGUUAGUGCUCGGGUUGCCUCCCGAAAAGUGCUUAUUUAUAGUCUAAGCUCGACUUACCUCUUCAGUGAAUGGUCAUGGUGGUUUGAGGAGUUUAUACUCCUCAUUCCUACAAUCAAUCUCAUCAAAAUAAGGUUUUAAUCGGGCGUUGUUUACCUUAAAAGUGCUGAACUUGGGAUGACUCACCUCCAUCGUACCGAAUGGAAAAAUACUGAGUACCGUAAGAGGGGUUUCCUCAUUCGGUGUGGUAGUGACAAUGUAGGGAUUUGCGGUAUCUAAUAAGACCUUAUCAGCAACCUUAAGUUGAUUUGGAGAGGUAUUGGCCUUGUUUUAGCGUAGUUUCGAUUUUUCGGGUGUUCUUAGUUUGUGCGUCCGCCAUUCAUCGAGUUCCUCGAUUUGUAGUCUUCGAUCUUCAUGAACAGGUCCUCUACUAUUGCUUGGGAAUGACUCGUGUUCUUCCUUCAGACUCAUUUUCUGCAAAGUAGGUUUCACCAUAUUGUUAGGUUUAGUAGAAUGGUUUAAAUGAGCACCUUCAAUUCCUGAUGUGUUGCCAGAAUUGCGAGCUUGAAGGGUGAUUGUUUCGUUUCCCACCCGAAGUGUGAGUUCACCUAUGCCAACAUCAAUGAUGGUUUUAGUAGUUGCUAAAAAGGGUCUUCCUAGAAUUAAAGGAGUGUUGUUAUCAUUUUCUAUGUCUAGAACAAUAAAGUCAAUGAGAAAUAUAAAUUUAUCGAUUUUAACUAGUAAAUCUUCAAUAAUACCUCUAGGAAAUCUUAUAGUUUUAUCUACUAAUUGAAUGCUCAUCCUAGUCUGUUUGGGUUUCCCGAGACCUAGCUGCUUAAACAUUUUAUAAGGCAUGACGUUGAUACUAGCCCCUAGAUCAGCUAAUGCAUGAUUAACAUCUAAACUACAAAUUAAGCAAGGAAUAGUAAAGCUCCCUGGGUCUUUUAGUUUGUUGGGUAGUUUAUUUUGGAGAAUGGCCGAGCAAACUGCGUUCAGCUCCACAUACGACGCCUCAUCCAACUUCCGCUUAUUUACUAAAAGCUCCUUUAAAAAUUUCAUUACGUUUGGCAUCUGCGAUAGAGCUUCAAUAAACGGUAAGUUAAUAUGUAAUUUUUUUAAGAGUUUAAGGAAUUUACCAAAUUGUUCAUCUGAGCGGUCUUUCCUUGUCGCGUUGGGGUAUGGCACACGAGGUUUAUAUUCGAAAGUCACUAGUUUGUUUGUAUUUUGAUCUACCUCACCUUGACCUUUGCUUACCAUAGUUUCUUUCCUCGGUUCUGGUUAAGACUCAACGACUCCUUCAUUAUCUUGAAUAUUAAUUGCAUUGUGUUGUUCCAUUGGGUUAGCUUCGGUAUUACUUGGCAGACUACCUUGUGGUCGUUCGGAGAUUAGUUUGGGAAGCUGGCCUAUUUGAGUUUCGAGCCCUUGGAUCGACGUUUGUUGAUUCUUAAGUGCUGUCUCGGUGUUCUUAAAAUGGGUUUCUGACACUGAUAUGAACUUUGAGAGCAUCUCUUCAAGGUUUGGUUUCUUUUCCUGUUGGUAGGGUGGUUAUUGGUGGCCCGAAGGAUGUUGAGGUCUUUGAUUUCCUUGAUAGCCCCAUGAAAAAUUAGGGUGAUUCCUCCAACCUGCAUUAUAAGUGUUACUAUAUAGAUUGUUUUGAGGUCGGGGAAUAUUACCCAUGUAGUUUAAUUGUUUGUUAUCCAUGUUGUGGCCAUAAGGUUGGUAUUUCGAAUGGUUUGUUCCACCUCCACUUGCUUCGCACUACAUUACUGGGUGAACCUGUGACGAAUUAAGAAACCAUCAAUCUUUUUAGUUAAGAGUUCUACCUAAUUAUAGAGCAUGGUGACCGAAUCGACGUUAUAAACGCCGGCUGUUUUCGUUGGCUUUGUCCUCAUGACUUGCCACUGAUAGUUAUUCACUGACAUCUCCUCUAUAAACUUAUAAGCAUCUUCCGGUGUUUUAUUGUUGAUGGUUCCACCCACUGCUCUGUCAACCAUUUGCCGAGUUGAAGGAUUCAGACCAUUGUGAAAUGUUUGUACUUGGAGCCAAAGCGGUAACCCAUGGUGAGGGCACUUUCUCAGAAGGUCCUUGUAUCUCUCCCAUGCAUCGUAGAGUGUUUCUAAAUCCAUCUGCACAAAAGAAGAGAUAUCAUUACGUAAUUUAGCCGUUUUAGCAUGUGGAAAAUAUUUUAGUAAAAAAAUUUCGGUCAUUUGUUCCCAAGUAGUAAUUGACCCUCGUGGUAACGAGUUCAACCACUGUUUAGCUUUGUUCCUCAAUGAAAAGGGAAACAACCAAAUACGUAUGGCAUCAUCAGAAACAUAAUUAAUUUUAAAUGUAUCGCAUAGUUCUAAGAAGUUGGCUAAAUGAGCGUUGGGAUCCUUAUCCUGCAAACCAUCAAACUGAACAAAUUACUGUAUCAUUUGAAUAGUGCUAGGUUUUAAUUCAAAAGUAUUUGCAGCUACAACAGGUCUAACUAGGCUAGGUUUAGUUCCUGCUAAAGAAGGUUUAGCAUAAUCAUACAUAGUGCAUGGAGCAGGAUUUUGAUUAACCGCAAUUGCAGGAGGUAGCUGAUUGCCUUGGUUUUCAGUCAUCUCUUCGGUUGGGGGUUGAGUAUCGUCUUCUUGCUCGUUCUCCGUGUAUCUUAAGUUGUGCCUUAUUUUUCUUUGGUUUUUACAAACUGUACGAUCGAUUUCUUCAUCAAAAAGUAAUGGUCCCGAUAGGUUUCUUCUAGUCAUAAACUAUAAAAACCUGUCAAGAGAAAGAAAAAGUAAGUUAAUAAAUAAUAAAAUUAAAUUAAAUUGCAAGAAAAAUAAAUGGCUAAAGUAAUAAAAAUUAAGCGUUCCUAAUAUUUCAGUUCCCCGGCAAUGGUGCCAAAAACUUGAUCGCGUUAUUUUGUGAUAGGUUUUAAAUAUUUAUAAUUACUCGUUCUUGAGCUAACUAUUAUCGCGAUGUAGGCAAGUGUACCUAUCGUACAGUAGUAUAGUUUUAGCAAGACCGAAUUGUCGAACCCAAAGGAACUAAAAGUACUAGUAAUGACUGUCUUUUUAUUUUCUAGCCUAAGAAUAAAGAGGUUUUGUUUUAAUUAACUAAUUAUCUAAACUAAGAACGCACAGAGAAAAGAAUUGGGGAAUUGAUUUUGGGAAAAAUUGAUUGACUUAAGACAAUACCUAAGGAAAAAUCCACCUAGACUUUACUUGUUAUUCUAGCUCCAAAUCGGACGAUUUAUUCAUUCAACUUGUUCCGUAGAGAUCCCUAAGUUAUGUUAUUAUCCCUAUUCAAGACUAAUAACAUCUAAUCCCUAGAUUGAACAACCGAGACUUUUCUCUAAUUAACACUCUAGGGUGGCAUUAACUCGAUCUAUGGAUCCCCUUAUUAGGUUUUUGUAAUUUAUAGCUCUAAUCUAUUCCACUAAAAUUUUAGGGAAAUAAGAUUUGCUAUCUUUAACCUGCUCCGCUGCAACUUCAGGGAGAUAAGACUUGUUUUGAUCUGCUCUACUGCAACUGCAGAGAGAUAAGAUCUGUAACUUAUAGCUUCAAUCUGUUCUACUGCAACUUCAGGGAAAUAAUAUUUGCUAUCUUUAACCUGCUCCGCUGCAACAUCAGGGAGAUAAGACUUGUUUUGAUUUGCUCUAAUGCAAAUUCAGAGAGAUAAGAUCUAUAACUUAUAGCUUCAAUCUGUUCCACUACAACUUCAGGGAAAAAAGAUUUGCUAUCUUCGGCCUGCUCCGCUGCAACUUCAUGGAGAUAAGACUUGUUUUGAUCUGCUCUACUGCAACUUCAGAUAGAUAAGAUCUGUAAUUUAUAGCUUUAAUCUGUUCCACUGCAACUUCAAGGAAAUAAGAUUUGCUAUCUCUGGCCUGUUCCGCUGUAACUUCAGGGAGAUAAGACUUGUUUUGAUCUGCUUUACUGCAACUUCAGAGAGAUAAGAUCUGUAAUUUAUAGCUUCAAUCUGUUCCACUGUAACUUUAGGGAAAUAAGAUUUACUAUCUUUAGCCUGCUCCACUGCAGUUUCAGGGAGAUAAGACUUGUUUUGAUCCGCUCUACUGCAACUUCAGAAAGAUAGAAUCAUUUGUCUUCAGUCUGCUCCUCUGCAACUUCAGGGAGAUAAGACUUGCGGUUUUGACCUGCUCCACUGUAACUUCAUGGAGAUAAGGUUAAUGAUUUCACCGAUGUUGCUGCACUGUCCUUUAUGGACAUGAUUUGUAGAAUCGACUUCAUGUACCUAUGCUGAUGCCGAAUGAUUAGGAUGCUAUGAUCGAAAUGAAUCAAUGCUCCUAACUAAAUGUGUAUGACUGAUGUUUGUAUAAAUGCAAAAUGUCAUGUUUAAUUUGAUAUUACUCGUUAUUUAUCAAGGUUUUAUCAAUGAUGUAUUAUUAAGUGUUUUUUUAGGUUAGUUGGUAUCCCUGGCAAAAAACCCAGAGAAUAAACACAAUUUGGGACUAUUCUUUCCUACGUUUCCAACCUUUGAAUUUGGGGUAGUUUUAACUAUUUGGUCCCGUUUCAGGUCCUUGCACUAUUUAUAAGUGUUUCAGAGUAAUAUGCAGAACUUCUUUUUUGAAUAUCAUUAGUCCAUUAAUCAUCAUUUCAAUGAAAAAUGCUUGAAAAAGAUUAUCGCAAUGGGCAAGAUGGAAUUUUAUUGAAGGCAAAGCUCGAAAUGAAUAAGAUAAUCACGACAGUAAAUUUUGCUAAGAUACAAAAUGGAUAGAAUGAAAAUAGGUGCCCCAGAUAUUGUAGCAUGAGCUUCUCUGCACGGAACUUCUUGAGAACCUUUUGAACUUUAUAUGUGUUUAGGAGACCAAGAGUACUUUAUUGAUGCCUCAAGAUGUCGCAUCCCUCCUCCUUGUUAAUUCAGAGAAGACAAGUCUACCACAUGCCCUAUGUUUGAUCAAAAUUUGAAUUGCCCAUUCCUGGGUUUUCAACUCAAAACCCUUUUGGUCUCAAAGCACCUUUUCGCAAGUUUUCGCCUUAGCCUCUCCUUUUUUUUUACGUCUCAAAGUGCCCUUUGCGGGUUUUCGCCUUGUCCUCUCCCUCUUUAGGUGAAAUACUUCUUGACGAAAUCUGAAUUCACAGGAUUGGGCAAGUUUUUACCAUCCAUUUCGACUAAGAUCAAUGCUCCACCAAAAAAGGCUUUUUCACCAUAUAAGGUCCUUCCCAAUUUGGCAUCCAUUUCCCUCUGAAAUCUUUUUGUAUGGGAAGGAUCUUUUUCAAAACCUGAUCCCCUUCGCGGAAUUCUCUAGGGCGCACCUUCUUGUUAUAAACCCGCAUCAUUCGCUUUUGGUACAUUUGACCAUGGUGAAUAGCUUUAAACCUCUUUUCUUCAAUUAAGUUUAGCUGAUUGUACCGUGACUGGAUCCAUUCUGCUUCGUCUAACUUUCAUUCUAACAGCACUUGUAGAGAAGGAAUUUCAACCUCAAUAGGUAGGACCGCCUCCAUUCUAUAAAUCAAAGAGAAAGGUGUUGCCCUAGUGGAGGUUUUGACUGACGUUCGGUAGGCGUAGAGGGCGAAUGGUAAUUUCUCAUGCCAAUCUUUAUAAGUCUUAGUCAUUUUUCCCACGAUCUUCUUGAUGUUCUUGCUGGCCACUUCCACCACACCAUUCAUUUUUGGGCGAUAUGGUGACGAGUUAUGGUGUUUGAUCUUGAAUUGGCUACAGACCUCAGCUAUCGUGCUGCUGUUCAAGUUCAAUGCAUUGUCUGAUAUGAUCCUCGCAGGCAUCCCAUUUCGACAUAUGAUCUCUUUCUCUAAGAACUUGCUGACUGUCGAUUUUGUGACGUUGGCGUAAGAAGUGGCCUCUAUCCACUUGGUGAAGUAAUCGAUGACCACAAAGAUGAAUCGAUGCCCAUUAGAUACCUUUGGCGAGAUUGGCCUUAUGACAUUCAUGCUCCACAUGGAUAAAGGCCAUCGAGAAGUCAUGACAUGGAGAGGUGAAGGAGGCACAUGAAUCUUAUCUCCAUAAAUUUGACAUUUAUAGCAUUUCUUGGCAUAGUUGAUGCAAUCCCCCUCCAUAGUGGACCAAUAAUAUCCGAAUCUCAUAAUUUUCCAGCCAUUAUGAAACUGUUAGCAUGUGUUCCGCAAACACCCUCAUGGACCUCUUCCAAGAUUUGCUUAGCCUCGACAGCAUCCAUACAUCUUAAGAGCACCUGAUCCUUCCUUCUUUUAUAUAGGAUCUCUCCGUCCAAGACAUAGUCACUGGCUAGCCUUCUCAAUGUCCUUUUAUUAUUUUCUGUCUCUUGGUCUGAGUAUUCACGAUUCCUCACAUAUCGCAAUAUAUCCUGAUACCAAGGGUGAUCGUCCUUUUCUUCUUCUUCUUCGAUGUUGUAACAAUGAGCCGGAGUCUCAAAGAUGCUCAUUUGGAUAGGCUUCAUAUCCUCCUGCUUGUUUACUUUGAUCAUUGAAGCUAAAGUUGCCAAGGCAUCAGCCAUUUGGUUUUCAUCUCGUGGGAGGUAAUAGAAAGUGAUAUCAUCAAACUCCUCGAUUAACUCCAGAACCAGCCUUCGGUAAUUGAUCAACUUGAGGUCUCUUGUCUCCCAUUCACCCCCAGUUGAUAAAUCACUAAUGUGGAAUCCCCGUAUAAAUCUAAUACCUUGAUCUUGUGUUCGAUGGCUGCACGGAUACCCAUGAUGCAUACUUCGUAUUUGGCCAUAUUAUUUGUGCAAUCAAAAUUCAAUUUACUGGUGAAAAGAUAAUGAUCUCUGUUUGAGGAUAAUAAGACUGCCCCGAUUCCGUUACCCAUAACAUUUGAGGCUCCAUCAAAAUUCAGUCUCCAAGGAUGAUCUUCUUGAGAGUCUUCUUCCGUGGUUGCAACAUACAUUAGAUCCUCAUUCGGGAAAUCAAAGCUCAAAGGCUCAUAAUCUUUUAGAGCCCUGCUGGCCAAAAAAUCUGCUAUUGUACUUCCUUUUAUCAAAUUCUGGUUCACGUAGACUAUGUCGAACUCCGAAAGCAAAACUUGCCAACAAGCCAUUCUUCCGUUCAAAUCAUUUGACUCCAUCAUGUACUUCAGAGGGUCUAGUUUUGAGAUGAGCCAAGUCGUGUGGUAUAGCAUACUGUCUCAGUCUUCGGGUUGUCCAAAUUAAAGCACAACAUAAUUUCUCAAUCGACGAGUAUCUUGUCUCACAUUCAGUGAAUUUCUUACUGAGAUAGUAUAUCACUUUUUCUUUUCUUCCUGACUCAUCGUGUUAGCCUAACACACACCCCAUGGAGUUUUCGAACAUUAACAAAUACAGUAUCAGUGGAUGGGCAAGGUGGCAUCACCAUUAGGGCAUUGGACAGGUAAUGCUUGACCUUAUCAAAAGUUUUCUGGCACUCCUCAUCCCAUACACCUAGGAUGUGUUUCCUAAGGAGACGAAAUAUUGGGUCACAUUUCUCUAUUAGUUGUGAAAUGAACCGGGCGAUGUAAUUUAGUCUUCCUAGGAAUCCUCGAACUUCUUUUUGAGUGCGUGGCGGAGGUAAUUCUUGUAUGGCCUUGACUUUAUCUGGGUCAAUUUCAAUCCUCUUUUCACUGACUACGAAUCCUAACAACUUUUCUGACCUGGCGCCGAAGGUUCAUUUUGCGGGAUUAAGCUUUAGCUGAAACUUUCUUAAUCUUAAGAACAGUUUCCUUAAGACUUGUAUGUGCUCAUUUUCUGUUCUGGAUUUCACAAUCAUAUCAUCGACGUAAACUUCAACCUCCUUGUGCACCAUAUCAUGGAACAAGGUUACCAUGGCUCUCUGAUAUGUUGCUCCUGUGUUUUUCAGUCCGAAUGGCAUCCCCUUACAACAAAACAUUCCCCACAUGGUCACGAAUGUGGUCUUUUCCAUAUCUUUAGGAUGCAUCUUUAUCUAGUUGUAUCCCGAAAAGCCAUCCAUAAAAGAGAAAAGUGAGUAACCUGCUGUGUUAUCCACUAAUGUAUCAAUGUGAGGUAAUAGGAAAUUAUCUUUUGGGCUGGCUUUGUUUAAAUCCUGAUAGUCCACACACAUUCGUACUUUCCUAUCUUUCUUCUUGGCUGCCCAUUCUGAGUACUUAACCACUUUUAAGAAGUCGGCAUCGAAUUGUUUCUUGACCUCUUUUUUAUCUUUAACAGAACAUUGAGUCUCAUCCUUCAGAGUUUCUGUUGAACUGGCUUGCACUCUUCCUUUAUGGGGAGCCCGUGUACCACAAUAUCGGUAUUCAAACCGGACAUGUCUUGAUAUGACCAUGCGAAGACUUUUUUGAAUUCUUGUAGUAGCUCAAUGAGGUCUCGCUUUGUCUCCGCGACGAUACAGGCUCCAAUUUUCACCUCUUUUCCCUCUCCUAAGCUCGCAAUUUCCACUAACUCCUUGUGAGGUAGGAUUUGUUUCUCAUCUUGUUCUACCAUCUUUAACAAAUCGGGGGAUUGGUUACAGUUUCGGUCAUCUUCAAAAUCUUGAGAAUCCUCUGUACACAUAUCUUGCUCAAAAGGAGACUUUGAGUCAGUAGCAGCGUUACUCAUAUCAUUGAUAUCUAGAGACCUGUUAUAAGGAUGAAGAGAAGUCCAAAAAAUAAAAGAAUCUAAGAAUAUUUAUUGGUGGUAUGAUUAUGAAUGAAAUAGAAAGAAUAAAAGAAUAUUUGCUCAACAUGAUACGCAAAGAUGCAUUUUUUAUUGAAAUAACGAUAUUGGAUAAGAGCCUAUUUCACAAAAGGAUUGUUAUUGCCCCUAGGCUUAAUGCAAUAAGCUUGUUUUGGACAUUACUAUGAAUUAAUUUUAAAAGUUAUAGGGAUCUCUUCUGCGGUACAAUUGUUCAAAAUGCUCCUAGGCACGUAUGGGCAAAUGCCUAAUUAUCCUCUUCUCUUAUUUCUUCCUCAGAUACGAUGUUAAUGCUCAAAUUUUCCAACAUUUCUUCGGUGGACCCCUUCCUUGUCGAUCUUCCUUCAGAGUAAAUAAUCCCCCCCGACACAAAUGUUCUGUAAAUAUGAGGAAAGGUCAUUGGCUCACAUUUGACAUAUUCCCCGCUUAAACGCGUUCUUCUCAUUUCUUGCUUCUUCUCUUGCUCCUUUUUCUUUUGCUUCAUAUUUGGCUUGAAUCCUAAGCCAAAAUAGUGUCGUUUGUCCAUGAGCAUGGGUGCCUCUAUUCUUCUUUGUAGAUUUCUUCCAAGCCCCUUCCCGAGCAAAGCUCCUUUCCCAACCAUCAAUUGUGGGCCAUCUUUGUAGUUUUGGAAAUUUUUGGGCAUCGGGACCUUAUCUCCUUUGAUAAUGAAAGUCACGUUUACAAAUUCUAAUGACCGAAAAGAACAUUCUAUGGCUUCAUCAUCUGUUCCCACAUAUGGUGCAUUGCUGGUAACGGAUGCAAUGAUAUCCUCUUCUGCUUUUAUGGUCACCAAUCGGCCUUCCGUUAUAAAUUUGAGCUUUUGAUGUAACAAUGACGGUACUGCCCCCACCGAGUGAACCCAUGGCCUUCCCAAUAAGUAGUUGUAAGAGGGUUUGAUGUCCAUCACCAAGAAAUCUACCUCGUACGUGCUUGGACCGAUUAAAAGGGGUAUUUCAAUCCUCCCCAUUACUUUUCUUUCGGUGCCAUCAAACACCCUAACUACAUUUUGGCAUGUCUUCAUAUGGGAACUAUCCACUGGCAACCUAUUCAGUGUAGAUAGGGGUAGGAGGUUUAAUGCCGAUCCAUUAUCGAUCAAUACCCCUGGUAAUGUGUACCCUUUACAACGGGUGGUGAUGUGCAAGGCCUUUGUGGAUCCCAUACCUCCCGGUGGUAUUUCGUCAUCAUUAAAGAAGAUAAAAUUGUCAGCACUGAUGUUGUUGACCAGACGAUCAAGUUUGUUGACUGAGAUAUCAUCCGCAACAUUAUUUCAUUUAACACUUUCAUUAAUGUGCUCCGAUGUGUCUCCGAGCUCAAAAGUAAGGCUAGCACUGAAAUACGAGCCGGAUGCUUAUGUAGCUGUUUUACAACAUUGUAUUUGCUGUGCUUUAAGAAUUUCAAGAAUUCUCUAGCCUCUUUUUCAGUCACUGGCUCGUUAAUUGGUGAUUCAAUCCUGACCAUCUUCUCUUUCCUUUGCUCGACCGUCGGGGCCUUUUCUUUGACAAUUUCAGUUCUUAUACCCGCAGGAUCAUAAUGUCUCCCAUUGCGUGUAUAGAAACCUACUUUUUAGCUCUCCCCUGAAGCACUAGUCGGAUUUUCCUCCUCCGAGAUUGUCACGUUGCAGUCAUAGUUCCAGGGAAACCUUUUGCUAUCCAUGUAGGGAAAUGAUACGGGUUUCUGAAUUACGACUCUCGGUGCCAUUUGUACUCCUGCUUCAUUAUUCCUAGGUCGCGAGAUGAUCACCACAGUAUGAUUAACUCUUUAGACCCCUUCUGUUGUUCUCUUUUUUGAGGCGUAAACCUCUCCUUCCUCUGAUCCUCUGAUUUUUUCAUAAAAUUCCAUCUCCUUAUUGUCCAUCAUAGUUUGCACUAUGGACCUAAACUCAUUGCACUCUUGGAUGUCAUGGCCAUUAUCGGCAUGAAACUCGCAGUAUCUUCUCGCUUCUUUGGGCCUUUCCCUUGAAUGCUAUAUGACUAAACCUGCUUCCACUAUCCUCUUCCAAACCCAUUUCAAUGGGGUUUUUACCUCUGAUACAUCCAUGUUGGUUCUCCUCCCUCCAUUUUCAAUUAUCACAUUUACCCCUUUGUCUGAAUGACUAGGUAGCGAAUUCCCUGCCACAUUAGGUCUUGUGGAUCAUCGAACUUCACAAUGCCCAUGUCUAAGAGUCUUUCAACUAUCUUUUUGAAGGCAGUGCAGUUCUCAAUCAUGUGUCCCGGGAUUCUUGCAUGGUAUUCACAUUGAGCGUUUGCGUCAUACCACUUAGGGAAUGGAGGUUGCAGGGGUUUCAAGCAGUAAGGUGACACCACAUGAGCAUCGAAUAAGCUCUGAUACAAUUCCUUGUAUGACAUCGGGAUAGGUGUAAACUGGAGCCCCUAUAUAUUUGGCUUUGGGUUGAACUCUUGUCUUGGGGAGCUUUGAUGGCUAGUAGUCACCGUCCUCGGCUGGCUUACGGUGACUGGCUUGGAAUAACUCUUAUUGUACACGCUUGUAUUGUUCACCUCGUUUUCUUUCCUUCUCGGAGCUGAUUUCUUGGCAUUUUCCCCUGCUUCGAUCUUCCCGCAUCUUAUCACAUUUUCUAUCAUCUCCCCAAACAUUACUAUAUCUGAGAAGCUCUUAGUAGCGCUUCCCAGCAUGUGGUUGAUUCAGAGUAUUGAUAAAGAGCAUGGUCAUUUCUUUCUCUAGAAGAGGUGGUUGGACUUUCGUCGCCACCUCUCUCCAUCUUUGGACGUACUGCCUGAAGCUUUCAUUUUGUUUCUUCUCCAUGUUUUGCAACGUGAUUUGAUUGGGUGCUAUGUCUGUCACGUGGCCAUAUUGCUUCAUGAAAGCUUGUGCCAAGUCUUUCUAUGAAUGGAUUUGAGUACGGCUUAGUUGGUUGUACCAUUUGGCCGUAGAUCCAACCAAACUGUCUUGGAAGCAAUGGAUCAAUAGUUGAUCAUUGUGAACGUAUCAUGCUAUCCUUCGACAAAAUAUGGUGAUGUGAGCUUCUGGACAACUAGUUCCAUUGUAUUUUUCGAAAUCUGGGGUUUUGAACUUAGGAGGGAGCACUAAUUUUGGGACCAAACUUAAGUCUUUGGCGUCUAUUCCGCAAUGGUAAUCAGCAUUCUCCAUUGCUUUGAGUUUUUCUUCCAGUCAUCUGUAUUGAUCAUCCAAUUGUUUUGGAGGUUCCACCCUUGUUUUCUCCAUCUCUGCUAUAUUAUCGAGAUCAGGAACAAGGGGAUUGGUUGGGUUAUCUCCAGGAUUAGAACCCGAGCCUGUUUGAUAAUUCAUCGGCGCUGAAGUAUCAGUUUGAUGCUGCUAAGGCCUGUUAGUAAAGGGUACCCCUCGUGGGUACACUUCUGGUGAUGUUUGGACGUUGAUUGGAGUAAAGCCUGGGGGUAGAUAGGAUCCUCAUUUUUAUUCGCAGUACUCUUCCCUUUUUCACGUUCUCUGACCAAUAACUGGGCCAAUUGGCUUAACAUAUUAUUUUGGGACUCUUGCAUUUGUUCCUUCAUAUCUUGUUGUAUUUUAGCUAACUACUCUUGCAUCUGCGCUUGGAAUUGCUCUUGCAUAUCUUUUUGCAUUUUUUCUAGUCUUUGUAGUCUCUGAUCCAUUACUUUAGUUUUGUGACGGGUAUUGUAGCAGUAUUCGAUUGGUUAACUCUUGUUGGUUUCCAGGUUAACUGAAAUAAUUUGGUUUAAUUAGGGUCUUUUCAUGAAAUUUAAUGCAUCUGACGAAAUGUAAUGCAAAUGAAUGAAAUGAAUGCAAAAAGAGGCGUUGAUUUUGAUUCAAUUUCAUUAGAACAACUUUACUAGAAGAAAAAUUUCUUUACAUAGAGCGGAUGAUUACAUAUACGACUUUGCCCUAAUACCCAAAGCCUUAACUUUCCUAAGAAGCCAAGCUAAGUUUCGGCCUCGUUCUGAUUCUAACUUGUACUUUAAGCUUAAUACAUCAGCCAGAACUGCCAAUGUUUGCAAAUGAUCGGCUACCUCUCGAACUUGAGCCACAGUUUCGCCCAUGACAUAAUCUCUAUCUCUGAUUUGAUUUUGAGAGCGGUGAAGUUGUUCUUUGCAAUAUUCAUUGUUUGCCUUAAGGAAUUCCACUAGACUUUUGCUGUCUUGUAGUAUCGUCUCGAGUUCCUCUAUUUUCCCUUUCAACUCCUCGAUCUUGGUUAGACUGGUCUUCAACUCAAUUACGGAAUUAUAGCUACGAUGCAGAUGUAGUGACUUUUCCAAUUCGGCUAUCCGAGCUUGUAAUUUCUCUUUUUCGCUUUAGCUUUCUAGCAAACUAUUUUUCAAAAUGUCCUCCCGCAUUCGAACGUCUUGAAACUUCUUCUCCCAAUGAUCGGCUUUAGUCUUUUCUUUUUCAAUUUCUUGAUGUCAUUGCUCCGACGUUUUACCCAAACUGACAGUUCUUAUCGACAUACGUAGCUUCUUAUAAUUAGUCUUCAGACUAUCUAAGUCCUCUCCGGCUUUGUUUUUCCCUUUCCUUAGCCUCUUGGCCUCUAGCUUAUGGAUGUCGAUGUCUAAUCCUAACUGCAUCUUUUCCUCCUCUAAUUGCUCUAUCUUCUUUCCCAAUUUCGAGCUCAUUUUCUCAAAAUCUUGCUUGAUGAUCUCUAACUCGGACGGGACUAGUUGUAAAUGCUCUUCUAUCGGUCGAGUAUUCCCUUUAUUCAUCCUAAAGAUGUUGUCGUUGACUCUCCUACCCUACCACCUUUCAUAUUCGGGGGUCGUCAUCGGCCAGCGGUGAAUCCUUUCAUUCUUCGGGUUUGGUUCCAAGCAUCUAAUAUCUUACAAACCUUCUUCUUAUAAUUGCUGUCCUUAUAAGAGAACUUACAUUGAGCUAACCCUUGUGUCACCGGUAUAAACUGCCUCGAUCGAUACUGCCUUAACACAAAUAGUGGAGCGUAUCCAACAGCUCCCCAUAUUCCAGCUAGAGGGACCCAGCCAAAAUCACCGCACCGAUAUAAGAUUUUGUCAGGGAUCAACCAUGGAGCCCUCCAUUCAAUAUCUUCGCCUUGCAAACUCUGGAGAAUAGCUAUCCAUUUUUCUUCUAAGAUGUCAUCCCGCCUCAGUGUAGCCACUAAUUCUCUUAAUGGGAAAUAGUCUUUGGAGAAAAUUCGAUAAGAGACUUUUUCUACUUUCCAAAAGUGGCUGUGGAACCAAGUCAACAAUAACUGCGCACAUCCUACGAACCUUCCUUCACCCGUCCUUCGACAUGCGUUCAAGGAUCUGAAGGUUUUUGCUAGGACCGCCGGGACGGGUGUGGUCCCUUUAUCAAGUCGAUCAAAUAAAUCUGAGACGGCCUCAUCUACAUGUCCUAAUGCUUUGGGAAAUAUGAUCAAACCGUAGAGACUCAAGGCGAAAACGUCAACCCUCUUCUUCAUAUUCGGGUGUGCCAGGAUCAAGUCCAUCAAAUUCUUUCAAUGCGUACACUUACUAUCCCCUUUCUGCUUGAUCCGGGCUGCAACCCCUUAUUCUCUCAUCCCCGUGAUAUUCAUCAAUUUCUUCAAAAAAGGCGGGACGUUAACAGGUCUUGAAUAGGCCCUGUCAGCUUGAAUCUUCGGGCAAUUAAGUAAAGCCAUGUAUUCCUCCACAGUAGGUACCAAAUCAACUCCCCGAAAAGUGAAGCAGCUGUAGGUGGGGUUCCAAAAUUGGGCAAGAGCUCAGAAUAAGCGUUUUUUUCUAUUUUCACCUCGAGUAAAUAGUGCAAGUCUCCAAAAUUAUGAUAAAAUAAUUGCUUGAUCUCGUUGUUCCAACCGUUCCAUAUCUCUUUUAAUUCUUACAGGUCAUUCUGGGCCACACUGAUGCGAGUAAAAUCCCAUAAUUCUGACUGAUAUCCCUCAGUCAAACUAUCACCUUUCUCUUGCUGUGCCUUUUCGGACCAUAUUCAGACGGCCGCAUUUUCUUCCACUCUAUCAAUAAAUCCUUUUUCCAUGCUAAGCUUUUCUAUCUAGUAACUGAAACAUGAAUCAACACCUUUUUAUAAUGUAAUGCCAUGCAAUAAUAGGAAAACACAACAAGUCAGUAUUAUAUACAAACAUAAUAGAACUCAAAGUAAGUAGGAAAUAAUUAAGCACCUGUUCGGGUAACCGCUAGGGUUUGGUGUAAUUCUACCUAAGGCGGGUUCCUAUAGCUCGCUAAAUGCGGUUUGGUUCUAAAGUAAAGGUUCCUGAACUAGCAGAUUCCUCAAUCCUCACCCAUUAUAGGCUCAUAUAGACCGAGUUCAGUUCAGGGGAAUACAUUUCCCUAUGGCUGCACGGAGAUGAAAAUCUCACGAAGACAUAAGUACGGAUGUAUCCCGAAAGCGAUCCACUAUCCUACACGGAGGUGAAGACCUCACGAAGGAAUAAUUUCUCACUCCCACUUAAGAGGUAUGACCACAACGGUCAUACAAUGCAAUGUGUGAGGAUACAUGCAUAAAAAAAAACUUGAAGCAAUAAAUAAAAUAGGAAUGAAAUGAUGAAAACUGUAAGAAAAACGGAUGAAAUGCAAUGAAGGGAUUGUAAGUUUAAAAUGAAUCUUCAAUUUUCGAAAAAGGAUAAAGAUUAAUCAAUUUAUGGCUCGACUCUCUAGUGUUUCCCUAGUAGAGUCGCCAAGCUAUCGAAACCAUUUUUGAAAACAACGGGGUCAACUUGAUUUUGGAAAUGAAAACGAAUAAAAAAGAGAGUCGCCACCAAUCUUUUUGACGAGGUGUGAUCAAAUCACCUAGAAAUUUGGUUGUUUUAAUAAAAUAUUUCAAUUUACUAAAACAACGAUUUUGUUCUACGAUAUUUGAGAAAAUGGGUUCGGGAUUCGGUUACGUACGAGGAAGGAUUAGCACCCUCGUAACACCCAAAAGUGGUACCUAGUUGAUUAAUUAGUGUCUUAGUAUUGAAAAUCGAAAAGAUUUUGAAAGAAAUUUUAAGAUAUGAUCCCUUUUCAUGAAUACUAAUUAUAAAACGCUUGGAUUAUGUUGAAACGAGCAUCAAAGACUCACUCGUCCCGAGAUAGUAAGGUAUCACAUCAGUAAGUUAGGACGCGACGUUUAAAUCUCUGAGAGCAAGUUUGCCUUUAAUCUUUAUCGAAAAUUUAUGUAUUUUGAAAUCUAAAAGGAUAUUUAGGUUUUUAGGUUCAACAAGAAAAUCAAAAUCCAGUAAGUUAGGGUACGAUUUCUUGAAUUCCCGAAACGCGAAAUAUUGCCUUACUUUGAAUAAAACGAAUGCAACAUUUAGCAAUGUGCGUUUAUUUUGUUUGGAAUAAAACAGUCCAUAUUUGGAUUCACAUUUGGAGUUAAUGAUUUAAAUGGAAUGAAAUAAAGAGAAUAUAGAGCACGAAGUAAUAACAUGAAUUACAUGCUAGGUUAAUGAAUGUCAACAACAUGGAUAUAUUAGCAAAUAAUUUCUAGGGCACAUAAUGGGCAUGUUCACAAAAUACACCAUUUCAAGAGAUCAACAUUAUUAAUCACAAAAGAAUGAAAUGAAGUAAUAAAUGAAAAAUUUUGAAGCUAAUAAAAUGGUUUGAAAUAAAUAACAAAUGAAAUGAUUAUGAAUAAAGAAUAUAAAAAAGGGGUUUCAAAUGAAUGAUGUAUAAAACUUAAAAUAAAUAAUAAAAAGAGCAGUAAAAUACACAACAUAUAAAAAUUUCUAAAAUGAAUCAUAUAAAAUAGUUUAAGUUAAAUACUAUGGAUAAAAAUUUUAAAAGGGUAACAUAUGAAGUAAUCUAAAAUAAAGAGUAUAUAAAAACAUUUUAAAAUUAUGAUAUAUAGGAAGUUUAGGAUAGAUAAUAAUAAAGAUGAAUUUAAACGGUUAACAUAAAACAAAUAAAGAUUUAAAACUAGGUAAUAUAUAAAAAUAAUUUAAGAUGAAAUAUAUAUAAUAUCAAAAUAUAAUAGUUUAAAAAUAAUAUAUAUAAAAUUUAAAAUGAACAAUAGCAUAAUACCUGGAAGAACUUAAAAUGAAUAUCAAUAGAAUGAUUUAAGAUAAAUAAUAAAACAAUCCAAUGAUACAUAGAAUAUUUAACAGGUGAAAUAUAAGACUAUUUAGAAUAAAUAAUUACAUAUUAAAGGAAUAAAUAAAGGAAAAAAGAAUUAGAAUCAGGAAUAAAUAAAGAAAUAAAAAAAUUAUAAUCAAACUGAUUAAGGAUAAAAUUGGACCAAAAACGAAGUCAAAAGUAAAAACUGUAAUAAAAUAAAAACACGGGGUCAAAAAUAAGAAAAUACGCAAGGUUUGAGGACUGAUCGGGAAAUUAUUCCUUAAGUUCUCUGUGCACCGUUUCACACAGGACUAAAAUGAAACAGCCACAAAACCCUGGGGCAAAAUUUAAAAAUAAAAUAAAAGGAAGAAAAUGAUUAGGUCGACAAUCGCAUAGAAACGGAAGGAUCAAAGUGGCAAAUAGCCCAACGAUCUGAAAACGCGCGGACCCCCUAGAGCGGGUCGGAUCGCACGCGGAUAACCCGAUACGAUGCCGUUUCAGCACCGAUUUCCUUGACGCAAAACGAUGAUGUUUUGCUUUGCCUUUUAGGUUAGUUUUCCAUUUCUUUCUCUUCCAUUUGUUUCCUUUUCUAAAAAAUCAGAAAACCUCCCCUUUUUCCCACUUUCCUUUUCGGCUAGGGUUUUGAAACCUAUCAUCGCCGACGCCUUUGCGAUGCCAUCGUAGGUGCUGGUCGAAGCGGUACAAAAUAGGCUUUCUAGCCCUUGUAUAAAACGCCUUCGAAGACCAAGCUUUCUCAACAAAAGAACGAGAGAAAAUGGCUAUUUCUCCUUUUUUAGAUUCAGUUUUACCGAAGGAGAAGAAACUCCGACGACGCUAUCCCAGGGUUCAGGUAAUCUUCUUUUCUCUUUUUCUUUUUAUAUUUUUUGUUAAAAAUAGAUUUGAAAUCAGAAAAUAAGAAUACGAAAAAAAAAACCAAGAUUCAACCUUUUGUUUUUUGCUUU